CGCCGCCGCCGCCGUUCGCCGCCGCCGCCGCCGUUCGCCGCCGCUACUAUCGCCCUAUCGUUGUCGUCGCAAUCGCAGUCGCAGUCGCAGAGUCGUUGUCGUCGUCGUUUCGUCGUGUCGUCGUCGUUUUACCACGUUCCGCGCGUGCUUUUUCACCAGGCGGAUGGACACGAUCAUCCAGUAAAAAGAGGAGCGGCUAAUAUAUAUAUGUAUAUAUAUAUGUAUAUAUAUAUGUAUAUGUAUUAACAAGGGAGAAGGCUUUAAUCGCUAAAUAGGUAUUAGGGAAGAGGAAGAGGAAUAUAAUAUAAAGAUUAAAUAAAAGAGAAUCGUGCGAGCAAUCUGUGAUCGCCAAAGGCGAAGCAGCAGCAGCAGCAGCAGCAGCAGUAGUAGCAGCAACAACAGCAACAGCAGGAGUAGGAGCAGCACCAGCAGUAACAGCGACAACAACAACGGGCCGUUGUAAUCGAAUAAAACGGAAGAACUGAUUAUGAGUCGGAACAGUGCAGCAGGUCAGCACUCAUACGAGCCGGCGUUAUACAAUAGACUCGACACGAGACACGCGUUGGCUUGAAACCGGCUUGAAGGACAUCACCAGCGGCUUUUUGAGACACGUAUACAUACAGUACAUGCCACUACAUCGACAGCAGCAGCAGCAGCAGCAGCAGCAGCAGCAACAGGAGCAGUAGCAGCACCAGUAGCAGCACCAGUAGCAGCAGCAACAGCAGCAGCAACAGCAGCAGCAGCAGCAGCAGCAGCAAUAGCAGCAGCAGCAGCAGCAGAAGCAGCAGUAUCGCCAACAGCAGACUGUGUAAAAAGCAACGAUCGCGCCUACAGAACAACGACAACAUCGACAACAUCGACACAACAACAACAACAACAACAACAACAACAACAACAACCAUCAUUGUUGUUUCCGUCUUCGUCGACGGUUAGAGAGCUUCGAAGGCUUCCACAAGCUUUGCUCGUUCGAAAGGAGAAGAGUUACGGAGUCGAGAGUAGAGAAGGAGGAGGGUGUAAGGAAAGGAAAAGGAGAGAAAGGAGUUCGUGGAGCUUGGAGAGAGAGGAAAAGGCCUUUUAAAGGAACAAAAUAACGGAGUGAUCGGCUCCAUCGUUCUUUCUUCAUCUUUGUCUUCUACACCAACACCACCACUACUACUACUACUACUACUACUACUACUACUACUACUACUACUACUACUACUACUACUACUACUACUACUACUACUACUACUAUUACUACUAUUACUACUACGACUACUACUACACUACUACUACUACUACUUGUAUUACUUCUUUGGACAAGUCCGAGAUCUUCCGUGAGUCAACGAGUAUCAACAGCUGUAAGACAGCAACGGCACGUACAAGUAGUAGAGAAACGCACACGCUUUACGUUUUUGGAGCUUCCAUCAAAAAGUAAUAAGAAAGUGAACAAAUAAACAAGCAAACGGAAAAAAAGUACUAAUAUAAAGAUCAACGGCAACAACGAAAAACGGAGUGGUGUACGGCCUUAGAAGAAAGCUUUCUCUCUCUUUCUCUCUCUUUCUCUCUCUCUCUCUCUCUCUCUAACUCUCUCUCUCUCUCUUUUUCUCUUUUUCUCUCUCUCUUUCUCUCUAUCUCUAUUUCUCUCUAUCUUUUUCUCUUUCACUCCAAUAACUCUGAUAUAUCACCAGUUUAGCACUUCUCUCUAUUUCGCCGCAAAAUCUCUCUUCUAAAACCAUCGCCAUUGGCAGAUCAACAACAACAAUAGCAGCAGUAACAACAACAACAGCAACAGUAGUAGCAGCGCAACGAUCAGUCUAGCUACUGUUUAUUACGACUGAUACAGACCGACCGGAUCGAUAACGAGAGUUAAUAAAGCGCACGGGCCGUCGAGAACAAGCGCUUCGCGGUAUUCGGAACGGGAAUAAGGACGCGCAACGUCCUUCGGGAUCAUUCACGGUUAUCCCGUUAACGGGAUCGAGUCGGGGAAAAAAAGUUCGCGAUAAUAAUAGACGAGCCACGCCAUUCGUUUUUUGUUCAAGAAGAAUUAUCGAUAAAGGAAGGAGGAAAGAAAUAUAGAUAAAAAAAGAAAGAAAAAACAGCAACAACAACAACAACAACAACAACAAUAAUAAUAAUAAUAACAAUAGAAAGUAUUUCUAUUCGUCGUUUCUACAAAAAGAUCGAUCGACGCGAGUGAACGCAAGAAGAAGAAAAGAAGGGAAAGAUAGAAAAUAAAUAAAUAAAUAAAGAAAGAAAGAAAGAA